CACAAAUUCUAAUAGGUUUCAAUAAUAAAAGCCUGGAGUCAGCUAUCAGGGAAAAUGCUGAACUAUCAGAGACAAAGGAUUAAAACUGCAGCCACUUUACCUCUCCUGUUUCCAUCUGAAAAGGAACUGAGUUCCUGUUUCCUCCUGGCUUAUCACUUUGUUUUUCUCCCGAGUCAUAUCACUUCCUGACUCUAUAGACAGACAUUCACACCAUCAUGAUUAGCUAGUGGCUAGUUCUACCAUCUGAUCUUCAGGCAAGCUGUAGUUGUACAAACAAGAUAUCACCACGUUUACUCUUUGUAUAAAAAUUAAAAAGGAAGUUUAUAGCUAAUAUAAGAAAAAUUAUAUACAGUAAGUACAAUAGCUGUUUUGUUGUUGAUACUCUUGUCUAUAGUACCUUUAGAACUAGCAUUUAUUAAAAUACUUCUUGAAAGACUAGGGAUGCCAUGCAUAUGUGUCACAUCUCACUUAGUGAAAGGCACCAUGGUUUGUGUGAUGAUAUUCUACCUUGUGUACGAAAAAUAGGUUUUAAGUGUUAGUGGUCAUUGUUGUACAUUAUGAAUUGUCAAUGACAGUCCAAUUUGAAGUGAGCUAAAAUGUGAGAAAAAGAGAAUCUUAAAUUGAGCACCGUACCAUAUGAAGAACAUUAAUUAAGGUAGCUUUCUUAACAAAGGGGACCCUGUCUCGAUUUAAAUAAAAACAAACAAAAAGCAUUUUAGCCUCUCUGACAUAUAUAAACAAAUUUGGAAGUCUUUGUAAAGUAUAUAAUUGUUGUUUACUUGAAAUGUUUAUGACACUGUAAUAUUAAUAAUUUAAAUGUCUACCAUGUUAAGCUGUUGUGCAAAAAUCCAUCCAGAGUGGUUGCAAAGAUUCUCAUUGAUAUAUCAUAAUAUGCUAAGAGAGGAGUUAUUUUAUUCCCCAUUUCAAGGAUAAGGGAAUCAACAACAAAAUGUGAAUGCAUGGCAAUCUUUACUUUGCUUUUUACAAAACUUCAAGCCAAAGGAAACUUGUAUUCAUAUAAGUGUGCCUUAUUCUUGACAAUAGCUAAACUCAUAGAAUAUAUAGAAAUCAGAUAUUUGCUAUGCUUAAUGUUAGUAUCUAGUAGCAGUUUCACAAGGGAGAUUUAGGACACUUUGGGCCACUUUGAGAUGGACUCGAAUUAGAAAAGGAAGAUGAGAUUGCUGCUUCGUAAGUUAUGAAACUUCUCGAAAGCUUUUAGAACAUCUCUAUUUUGUGGUAGUCCCUGAUCAUGGGGGAGGGAGUAUAACAGAGAUAUCUCAUGUGUGGCUGAGCAUUCCACUGUUAUUUAAUUCCUGUAUUUUGAACAAUUGUGAGUUUCUCUGUUAACCAUGCUACACUGCACAAAAACCUGAUGAGACUGGACAUCUGAAUAAACAUAAAAAUUUGGUGGCAGUUUGGUACUCUGUCCAUUUAUCAUAACAGUAGUAGGUUCAUCCAUAGGGACAGCGAACUCUACAACUCUUGGCCCAUGGCCAAAUUUACAGUACUUUUUUUUAGUUCAACUAAUUUUCAGUAUUAAGUAGUAAAAAAACAUCAUACACAUGAAUAUACAGAUUUUUGGAAAAAAACAAGGAAGCUCUUUGGGAAACAAAGAAAUAGCCAGCAUGAUAUCCAACAAUGACACUCCUGGGUACAGAUCCAAGGGACACAGAACCAGCAUCUCAGAAGUUGAUUCAUGUGUUCACAGCUGUGGCAUUCACAGUAACCAAGGAAUGGGAAUCACCAAGUGUCUGUCUGCUGGUGAAUAGGAAAGACAUGGAACAGCAACACACUAGGAAAUUCCUCAGCCAUCCCAACCUCCAGUUACAAAAUGAGACACAGUGCUGGAUUUCAGCAAAUACAGAACAUGGUUGCUUCAUGAAUACCAGUAAUUUAUAACUUAAAUUGUGCUUUCUAAUAAUGUCCCUCUUAUUCUUGUUCAUCACAGUGAUAACUAUGCUGCAUCAUGUGUCAGUUCUAAUGCAGAUGUUCAGGGUAAAAUCUGGGUUCUUUAUACACUGGAAAUGAUAGUGGAAGAUCUGAAUCCCCACCAAAAACCCUAGUGCACCAAGGCUCACACUACUUCUACUGUCAGAGACAUAAAGAAACAGGUCAUGAGAGAGAAUAGGCUAAUGAAAAAUACACAAAUGUCACUAUAGGGAUCAUUUAACCCAAAUCACGCUUAGGUGUGAGUUUCAACACACAACUUGCACAACAGUGUACCUAUUGAUGUUACUAUGGUUACCUCGAAAAUUUACUUCCCUUGAAGUUCUCAUUCCAAGAUUUGAAUCAGGUUUGGCCAGAAUUUCUCCUUUCACCCACAAGGGAGGGUGAUACUUUGAGUAGAGGGAACAACAUCUCACAAUAAUGAAUGACACAGGUUACUCUGUGCCCUAAUAUUUCCACAUAGAACCCGUGUUCUAUCUCUGAUGUCCAGCUUCAUCCACAAUAGUCUGUGCAGGAGAGAGCAAUAUGGCAAAACUUAGGAACCAGCAAUGGCCACUCCUUCACCUGCUGUAACAGCCUGUCCUUCCGUCAGGCACUCUGACUUCCCACUAUCUCCAGAUGACACCCGGAACUCCUCAUGAUCAUGAGCCAUGAUGCCCUUUGGGAUUCCCAGAAUGCAGUGAGGUGAACCUUCUGUGAUGUCACAGGUAAAUCCCUGCCCUAGAAACAGCAGUGUUCUUUGCCUGAGGACUACACAGUGUCCACCAAGGAGGGUUGGGAUUCAAAGACAGCCCAUGUGUCUGGGUAAGUUUGGGCUGUUUUGUGGGAGGAACAAUACCUGAAAUUCAGUACGUGAGUGACUCACUCAGUGUGAGGCACUUCUUCAUCAGAACCUUUAAUAUGGAGACUAAACAGAGUGAGGGACUGGAAAUGUUUCUGCCUAAGGACAGUUCAUUCUAUGCAGGAUAAAAAAGAGCAAGGAUGAGAAGUCUCAUAACAGUGUGACUAGACCCCAAAGACCACAGGGAAAGAAAUUCUCAUCUCACCAGAGAGAGGGGCCUUGUAAAGGAGCUGCACAGGUGUCAAUGGUGCAGGAAGGAUGAACAUUGCUGCUUGCUGCCCACAUUAGACCUUCACUCAGAGCUUGUCCAGGGAAGGGAGGAAAAGCAUCCAGGGUACUGAUGUCUGCUUCACUAAGGACUUCUUUUGUAUCAAUAUUUUCAUGUGUACUCAUAGCUGACACAAUAUUCGAACAAACAUUACUGCCACUGUCAUAAGAAACAUCAUGGCAGCACUAUACUGUCUAAUUCUCUACUUCUGAACCUGGUUUUUACCUUUAUGUCCUCGUGUCUGCAGGUUUAUAUCAUAGGUAAGAAAUAACUUAGAGAGGACACUGAAUGCUUUCCCAUAUCUUCCCUACCAAAGAACACAUUGUUAUAAGAGUCAGGGUGAUAUUAUAUUAAUACUUUGUUACUAGGAUGACCUCACCACAUGGACAGCCUUCUACUUUCCUGGGACAGUGUGCUCAGCACAGUGUGGGAAAGCAUCGUUGUUCCUUUUGCUACACUCAGACAGACAGGAAGAAGCUGGACAGAGGUGUGGUUGUGCCUCUAUUACCUCAUAAAAUAUCUCAUUGCCAAGGAAAAGGUUAUGGUGUUGAUGGGGGAACCCUGUGUCUAUGGGGGUGGACUGGAUUUCAGUAGGAAUUGCUGUUAUGCUGUGAGGUUUGAGCUAUGUGGGGGAAGACAUACAUGCAGGAAAUAUGAGAAGGCAACCUAAUUAAACAUCACUGUGUUAUACUGGGAAGUGGAAAAUGAAAAAAGGGCAUGAAAACAAUGUGUUUUUGAGGUGCCGUUUUUGAUAUAGGCUUUCUCUGAGUAGUUUUGGAACCUGUCUUGAAACUAGCUCCUACAGACCAGGCUGGCCUCAAACUCACAGAGAUCCACCUGUCUCUGCCUCCCGUGUACUGGGAUUAAAGUCAUGUGCCACCACAGCCCAGCCAAGGUGCCUUUUAACAAGACCUGUGCCAUAGCAGUAGAACUAAUUUAUCUAUUAUGAUGUAUGCUGAGGAACUUGCCAAACAAGGAUUCAUGGAGAUGACACCCACAACUGACCAGAGAAUGAGGUCAAGGGAUGACAACACCCAAACUAUAACAUUGGUACGGAAUAAAGCCUGUUGUUGUUCUUCAAGUCUGGUCAACUGUCAGCUAUGGCAGCCCACAGUGUCCAGGGCAUGUGGGAAAUGCUUCACAGACUGCUACUGUAGGGGUUCUGAAGGGACUUCGCUUCUUUCUGUCAUUAAUCUUCUCAUUUCUAACUAGGGAUUGGACCACUACAACUGAAGUUAGAGCCAGAAUAUAAAACAGAGCUAAAACCAUCUUUCUAACCCCAAACCCUGCCCACCAUCCACAUUUAUAUUUAAAUGGUAUGUUAUAUAUAUGGACAUGUGCCUUCAGGUAUUAUAAGCAUUCAAGUAGGUGUAGGAGCAAAGACCUGAAUGAUGGUGACAGGGGCUCAAUGCAGUUCUUGACAUAUCCUGAUCUAACACACAGGAAUCUUGAUAGAAGCCAAAAGAGCAGUGAAUACAAGCCUGUUUGCAGAGUGACAUGCCAAACAAAAUAUCCAGGACAGGAACCUAUACAGUGGGAAGAAAAUGUCUAGAGAUGACCUGGUCUAGGACUCAAGAGUAGAACCUACAGAAGAUUAAUGAUCAACAGCAUACAGCAACAACUUGUGGCAAUCCCUCAAGGGGCACAUGCAGCACAAGGAGGACAGGAAGUGCUUCACUGGGACCUUCUCUUGGGCUUCUUCAGAUGUAAACUUUCCUGAAAACCACCAUAUUUAUUCAGGCCUUAGGCAUUCACUACUGGGCCAUAGACAGUAAUGUUACACUCUCAAUAUCGACAUUUUUACACUUGUAGUUUUAUUUAAGAAACUUGUGUUACUAUGUCUCUUAUCUGUGCAUGAAUCUCUACAUAGAUGUUCAUGUGUGAGGGUACUAUGUUCUUCAUUUCUACUGGUCUACACCUGUACUUUUUGAGAAAAGGUGAAAUCAGCUGAGGAAGCCACUACCUAUCUCAGGACUUCUGGUUCCAAACUUCAACAGGAGGAAGCUUUGCUUUUAUUCUGUUCUCCAGGGACUGACAUUCUCAGAAGUCAUCGGCUACAAUGACAGGGUCAUGUUUGGAAACUUCAUGAUAUCCUGUUUUCUAGGCAAUCCUACUUCAAGCUGUGUUCAAUGGUGGUGAUGGGAUGGAUUACAGGGCAAAUUUAACAGUCAGCUUGGUGCCCAGGAUCUAGCAGGUAGCAUACUCCAAUUCAGAGGUCUAUAUAAAUUUCCUGAUACCCCAGGAAUCAGAAAUGAUAGACCAAAAAUUAUACAUUGCACAUUUUAGAUGAGUUUGACUCGUGGCCACUGAACUUGCUCCUGCCAGAUGAGAAAGCCCCUAGAGGAGGAGGAGGACUGAAUGUGAGCUUGAUCCCAGGAUAUGGUCAGAAAAGCAGUCUUUAGGCACUUUCGUAAGUACAGAAAAGCUAACCUGAUAUGAACACUAAUGUAAAAGUGUUCAUCUUUUAUAUUACUUGUUUUUCUGAGUCAAUCGCUGAGCCUGAGGCAUCCCAGGCCCAAAGAAGGAAAGAUGUGGGCCUGGGUCGAUAGCUUACCCUGACAAGAUUGGGAAAAAUGAAGAAGAAAUGACAACCUGGGCCUAACAAUUACACUGAAGAGGCCUGAGUGCAAUAAAGAUGAGAUGUGGGCAUGGGUUUAACACUUGCCCUGAAGAAGCCUGGGCCCAAGGAAGAAGAGAUGUGGGCCUGGGCCUAACCUUACCGUGAAGAGGCCUGGGCCUAAUGAAGAAGAGAUAUGGGCCCGGGCCUAAAGUUUACCCUGAAGAGGCUUGGGCCUAAUGAAGAAUAGAUGUGGACCUGGGCUUAACCCUUACUCUGAAGAGGCCUGGGCUCAAAGAACAUAAGAUGUAGGCCUGGGCCUACUUUUGAUGCUGAAGAGCUCCAGGCAAAACAAGAAGAGAUGUAGGCCUGGGUCUCUUCCUAACCCAGAACAGGCUUGGGAAAAGAAAGGAUUGAACCUGGGCCAUUUCGUAACACUGAGGAUGCUUUGGCCCUAAGAAGAAAAGAUGUGGACCUGACCCAUCUUUAUCCAUGAAGAGGCUUGAGCCCCCCAAAACAAUGGGAUGUUGGUCUAUCAUUCACACUAAGAGGGCUUGACUUUAAGAAGGAAAAUGUGGCCCUUUGCCUGUUUUAAACUUGAAGAGACCCAGUCGAAAUGAAGGAAUGCAGGCCUGGUUCAUUCACUAAGCCUAAAGAGCCCUUGCCCUGAGUAAAAGAGAAAUGUGGGACUGGGCCUACUCUUGAAACCAAAAAGAUGAUAAAUGGGCUAGGGCAUAUUGCUAAACAUGAAGUCACAGCCCUAAAAUAAUAGAGAUGUUGGCUUGGGUGAAUCCCUAAUCCUCAAGAGGCUUAGGCCCAAAUAAAAGGAGAGGUGUGGUCCUGGGCCCAUUCCUAACACUGAAGACUCCUGGGCCCAUAAAGAUCUGUGUCUAUACCUCAUGCUGUAGAGUCCAGGGCCCAAAGCAAGAUGAGAUGGAGGUGAGAGCCUAUCUAUGAAUUCAAAGAGGCCCAGGCCCAAAGGAGAAGAGAUGAGUGUCUGGGGCUAUACCUGACCCUCAACAAGCAUGGGCCCAGAACAUGAAGACCUGUGGGAAAAUACAAAAUGAGCAAAAGCCAGGAGAACCAAACAAAAAGGAUUGUGCCUAUGGUAUAUCACAACCAGAAGCAUCCCAGGCCUAGAUCAAAUAGCCCUGGAACAAUUGACUCAGAUUCAUUCUCUUCCAAUAAGCCCUGGACAUAAAGAAGAGUGCCAAGGCCAAAACUAAAGAGAAUCAAAAUUGUGUUUAGACCAUGUACAUGAGCCACACUGGUCCUAGGUCUGAUUUUCUAUUUUAUAACCAGCUAAAACAUCUGUGCAGAUACAUCCCUGCUUGUUCAUCCAUAAUCUUGGCCUCGACUGCACUACUCUCUUUCUGAGUACUCAUGUAAGUUGACAUGCUCAAAAAAUAGGUGUGUGGAUCACACACACAUAUUUUAUUCAGUGCUGACCACAUUGAAUAUCAGCAAGUAUGAACCAUUGCCGUAAUGUGCCAGGGACUCACUGAAAUGAUAUGUCAAUAUAGAUAUAGCAUACAAGAAAAGAGUAUUAUACUGUGUCCUCUAGCUGUCUGAGACAUAAUCUUAAGAUCUUAAAUUUCUUUAGGAAUGAACAGUUCUCAAAUGUAACUCAUGCAAAAGCCUAUUUUUUAAAAAUUGCCGACUAAUGCAAAUUUGGUCUUUAUCUGAGUAACUGACUCCUGGUCACAUUAUAUCUUUCAAGAUUCAGAACUUGGUGAUGAUGUAACUACUAACCUAAAAGCAUGGCCAUGAACAGACCUCAAAGGAAAUGAAUCUGCUCCUGAACUGCAAGUACUCUGGGCUAUCAUCUUCAAGGGUGUGUGGGUCACACCCUUGCUCUAUGCAUUCCAGAACAAAAUCCCAAAACAGAGGAUCCAGGCCUUAAAGGGAACAAACCUCAUCUCAAUGAUCAAAGGAAAUGGACACCCCAUAUCCAUGACCAGGUCUAAAGCUAAGCAUUAUCUUCAUGUCAAUUUAUUUUGUUGGAUACACCAUAGCCUCAUCUGUGACCCAGGCCAUGCCAUGUUCACCAAGACAAUUGGAUUCUUCACCAAUGUGUGACAUCAGAUCAUAAGCCAUGAACUCAGAGCAAGAAGAAGUUCAUCUGAAAGCUCCUUUUGGUUCCAUUCUGGUUUGUGGGUUGUAUUCGUGAUUGUACCAACACAGGCAAAAUUCUCACAAAUGUGUUAAGGCAACCUCAUGGCUUUGAAAUAAUCUGGACCACACAUGAAUGUCCAAUGACAGGGACACUGCGGGCCGCACCCAGAACAUCUCUGUGUCCAGUUCAAGAAUAACAGUUUGACCUUGGUCUGACCCAGGGCAUGUACUACUAAAGGAAUGUCUACACACUCCUACCCUAUGAGUUGGUUGUCUAAAGAAUGAGAAAAGGACAAAGGCCAUAAACUGACAUCCAUGGGGCCCUGCCAGCUCCCUGAUUUCCAGUAAGUCAGGUCAAGAUUAAAUUUUAGGGUGUGAGGGCCAUACCCUCUCUUUACAAGACCAAGCACUUUGCUGACAGUGAGUCAGGACCACAAACCAUGGCCUUGAAUAUGAAAAGGACCCACUCUCAUUAAUGAUAAAAAAAACACGGUCAUAACUUAAUAUAAAGAGUGAUUACAUGGCACAUGGCCCUAUACUGAUUUUAACUGAUUUUUACCUGAGGCUAGACUAUAUUCACCAAACAUUUUAAAUGCAGAAGGAAGGCUUCAUAAGUGGAAGACAGACCCCAAAUUAAUAAUAAUGUGGGCUUUCCACCAAGAAAUCUGUGUCAAAUUUGAAUUCUCUCCAUCUAAUGCAGGAGAUUUGCUCACCAUGUAGGACCCAGGACCAUGAAACAUGGCCUUCAUCAUGUAUGAGAGACACCAGAGAAACAAUCUGGACAUAUUUUGGCAAGAUGAAUGUGUGGGCCGCACCCAGAAGCCAUUAUGUGCCCGGCUGUCUUCAAUAGAUCCAGAACAAGUGAUCGUGUUUGUGUUGGCCUACACCACCACCUCAAAAAAAAAAAACAAAAAUAGAACCACCACAAUGACCAGAGUUGGUAUUGUGGUAUAUGACAUCAGCCUCACAAACUUCCAAAUUGUGGUCCAAAUCUAAAUUUCCUGAAUUUCCUUCUCAUUGCUGACUUUGGCCUUCAGCCUUACCUGAUUAGAAACACCAAAGAAGCCAUUGGGUUAAGAAUGUCAUGACCCAAGAGUACAGACAUAACUUUAAUAAAAAUGUGUAAUGGAAAACCCUGAACUUCUUUCUCUGGAGGCAUGUUUGGUGGCAUGCUCAAAGACUAGACAUGCAUUCCUAUGUUUGUUCACAGGAGCCUACCUAGAAGAUGCCAGAAUUAUAACCUGGUGACUAUAGAUCCCUCAUAGGUCUAAAGCCUUGAAGUCAUCAGUCUUACUGCAUUUCCUAACAUUUUGUAUAUGGUUUUGAAUAAAUAUGAUGAAAUGCUA